GAUGAACGCUAGCUACAGGCUUAACACAUGCAAGUCGAGGGGAAACGACAUCGAAAGCUUGCUUUUGAUGGGCGUCGACCGGCGCACGGGUGAGUAACGCGUAUCCAACCUGCCCAUCACUUGGGAAUAACCUUGCGAAAGUAAGACUAAUACCCAAUGAUAUCCCACGAAGGCAUCGGAAUGGGAUUAAAGAUUUAUCGGUGAUGGAUGGGGAUGCGUCUGAUUAGCUUGUUGGCGGGGUAACGGCCCACCAAGGCAACGAUCAGUAGGGGUUCUGAGAGGAAGGUCCCCCACAUUGGAACUGAGACACGGUCCAAACUCCUACGGGAGGCAGCAGUGAGGAACAUUGGUCAAUGGGCGAGAGCCUGAACCAGCCAAGUAGCGUGCAGGAAGACGGCCCUAUGGGUUGUAAACUGCUUUUAUAAGGGAAUAAAGUGGGUCACGUGUGACUUUUUGCAUGUACCUUAUGAAUAAGGACCGGCUAAUUCCGUG
rnacentral:rRNA from 1 species